rnacentral:rRNA from 1 species
ACACGUAGGAGGCAAACGUUAUCCGGAUUUACUGGGCGUAAAGCGCGUGUAGGUGGUUCUGUAAGUAGGGCGUGAAAGCUCCCGGCUCAACUGGGAGAGGCCGUUCUAAACUACAGAACUAGAGGAUGGUAGAGGGAGGUGGAAUUCCAGGUGUAGCGGUGGAAUGCGCAGAUAUCUGGAGGAACACCAGUGGCGAAGGCGGCCUCCUGGACCAUUCCUGACACUCAGACGCGAAAGCUAGGGUAGCAAACGGGAUUAGAGACCCCGGUAGUCCUAGCCCUAAACGAUGUAGACUAGGCGUCGGUGGUUUAAUCACCAUCGGUGUCCAAGCUAACGCGAUAAGUCUACCGCCUGGGGACUACGGCCGCAAGGUUAAA